UUAUUGAAUAAUUUUAAAAAGUGCCAAAAGAAUAAAAUGACAACCUAGAAUUCUAUAUGCAGAGAUUUUCAGACUGAAAACAAAAUAAAGUCACUUUCAGCAAAAAUAAAAUAAAAUGGUAAAGAAGACUUUAUCCAAGGGGGACAGCUCUAAUGGGGUUUCGCGGAGGGGAGAAAGCAGCCUUAACUCUGAACACGAUGGGGAAAAGUGGGGAUUUAUAGUCAAGGAUCAGGGUUAGGAGUUGGUGGAUGGAAAAUCACGUGUAAUAGGUAAUUUCAUUCCUGGUCCCCAACACUCUUCAGAUUCAACCAACACUCAGAACAUCUGAAGAGUCCAAGUUGCUGCUGAGUGCUUCCAUAUGUCAGUUUCAUCCGUACAAGUUUCCUGUGAUGCUGGGAGCUAACCCACCGCGUCUAUCAAGUAUCACUGCAAUGGCACUCGCAUUUAUUGAAUGCUUUCUGAGAUCAAACACCAUGUAAAGUUCUUUAGCUGGAUACUUUGAGCAAUUCCCACAACGCACCUUGGAUGACAGAUGGAGAAACUGAGGUCCUACAUUUGAACUGGCUGCACUGAGCGUUGUGUGUCCAGGCGACAGAGUUGGAGCCCCAGUCCAGAGGCCCUGGGUAUCAUCCCAAAAGCCUGUGCUACGUAUCUGUGGACAACUCCUUCUCCUCAUUUUCUUUCUAGGUAGGUCUUUAUUAAAUCAUAAAGUGAGCAUUCAUCAUCUUGACAGUGAACGAAUUAUAAGCUAAAGGUCUAUCUCUAAAACUUGGCUUCUGUUAAUUCCUCCCCAAGCUCCAUAGAACCAAAUGUCUGAGUUGAACCAUGCGCUCCUCCUCUAGUGGGUGUUUAUUCUGAUAUGCAGCUAUUUUUUUUUUUUUUCCGGCAUUUCUUUCUUUGGGCUUACAGGCAGUGCCAUCAACAUAGGUGUUACUUUUCAGGCUAUGUUUUACGUUCACUGAUAUGUCUGCCUUUGUGUCCAGAGUCUGGCUUGAAGCCAUCAUGAUGACGAAAAAAUAAAUGAGCCUCUAGCAAACAAUAUGUAGGCCUCUGUAGGUAUCUGAUGACUUCAUGUCUAUAGAGUGAACAGAAUGAAUCAAAAUUAAGAUCCCUUUUAAGGCCUACCCAGUAAUAUGACUUUGAUCAAAGUCAGGGUCCCACAAAAAGAGCAAAAUUGAUUUGCCAGUUUCAUUGAGGUUCUUUUGCUUUGCCCAAAUCAACUUACGGAGCUGGACUUGGGUGUCUGGAAUGGUGGGAUAAACAAAGAUUCCAGCUUUAGCUGUACUCACUUGGCCUAAAUUUUAAUCAUAAAUCCAUCACUUCAAUAUUUCAUACAAAUAAAAGCAAUUUCCAUUUUGAGUUUUCUCCCACUACCAAGGUCCUCAUAUAGCUCUUACCUCUCCAGCACCACAUUGUAGAAUUUCGAUAUUUGACCCAGAGGAAGCUGGGAAAGAGAAUAGAUAGAUCCUGUUGCCUACAGUCUUUAUUCAACUUGGAUUUGCUUUAGUGGGCAGUGUGAAUCAACACUCAGCUACAUUGCAUGCUACCCAAGAACAUCAUGACUCAAGAGUCACUGGCCAGAAGUCAUUGAACUCGGUUUCAACAACUCCAGAGUCGAGAAUUCAUGGUUUCCAUGUUUGCACCAGCUCUGAAUCAGGAAAUUCACAGAGUAAUACAAGAGUCAGACUCGUGGAGUUCCCAUGUGGCUCAGUGGGUUAAGAACCUGACUAGUAUCCAUGAGGAUGUGGGCUGGAUCCUGGCCUUUCUCAAUGGGUUAAAGGAUC